GGAAAGGUGCUCGAGUGGUUGAAGAGGCACGCCUGGAAAGCGUGUAAACCGCAAGGUUUCGAGAGUUCGAAUCUCUUCCUUUCCG
rnacentral:tRNA from 1 species